GGGACGUUGGCGCAGCCGGUAGCGCGUAGGUCUCAUAUCUGAGUGUCCGCUUGGGCACACAAACCUAUCCUAAGGUCGUGAGUUCGAGCCUCACACGUCCCA